rnacentral:rRNA from 1 species
CAUGCAAGUCGAACGAUGACUAUCUAGCUUGCUAGAUAUGAUUAGUGGCGAACGGGUGAGUAAUGCUUAGGAAUCUGCCUAUUAGUGGGGGAUAACCAUCCGAAAGGAUGGCUAAUACCGCAUACGUCUUACGAGAGAAAGGGGGCUUUUAGCUCUCGCUAAUAGAUGAGCCUAAGUCGGAUUAGCUAGUUGGUGGGGUAAAGGCCUACCAAGGCGACGAUCUGUAGCUGGUCUGAGAGGAUGAUCAGCCACACUGGGACUGAGACACGGCCCAGACUCCUACGGGAGGCAGCAGUGGGGAAUAUUGGACAAUGGGCGAAAGCCUGAUCCAGCCAUGCCGCGUGUGUGAAGAAGGCCUUUUGGUUGUAAAGCACUUUAAGUGGGGAGGAAAAGCUUGUGGUUAAUACCCACAAGCCCUGACGUUACCUACAGAAUAAGCACCGGCUAACUCUGUGCCAGCAGCCGCGGUAAUACAGAGGGUGCAAGCGUUAAUCGGAAUUACUGGGCGUAAAGCGAGCGUAGGUGGUCAUUUAAGUCAGAUGUGAAAGCCCCGGGCUUAACCUGGGAACUGCAUCUGAUACUGGAUGACUAGAGUAGGUGAGAGGGAAGUAGAAUUCCAGGUGUAGCGGUGAAAUGCGUAGAGAUCUGGAGGAAUACCGAUGGCGAAGGCAGCUUCCUGGCAUCAUACUGACACUGAGGUUCGAAAGCGUGGGUAGCAAACAGGAUUAGAUACCCUGGUAGUCCACGCCGUAAACGAUGUCUACCAGUCGUUGGGUCUUUUAAAGACUUAGUGACCCAGUUAACGCAAUAAGUAGACCGCCUGGGGAGUACGGCCGCAAGGUUAAAACUCAAUGAAUUGACGGGGGCCCGCACAACCGGUGGAGCAUGUGGUUUAUUCCAUGCAACGCGAAAACCUUACCUGGUCUUGACAUAAUAGGAAUCCUGCAGAGAUGCGGGAGUGCCUUCGGGAAUCUACAUACAGGUGCUGCAUGGCUGUCGUCAGCUCGUGUCGUGAGAUGUUGGGUUAAGUCCCGCAACGAGCGCAACCCUUUUCCUUAGUUACCAGCGACUCGGUCGGGAACUCUAAGGAUACUGCCAGUGACAAACUGGAGGAAGGCGGGGACGACGUCAAGUCAUCAUGGCCCUUACGACCAGGGCUACACACGUGCUACAAUGGUUGGUACAAAGGGUUGCUACACAGCGAUGUGAUGCUAAUCUCAAAAAGCCAAUCGUAGUCCGGAUUAGAGUCUGCAACUCGACUCUAUGAAGUCGGAAUCGCUAGUAAUCGCAGAUCAGAAUGCUGCGGUGAAUACGUUCCCGGGCCUUGUACACACCGCCCGUCACACCAUGGGAGUUGAUCUCACCAGAAGUGGGUAGCCUAACGCAAGAGGGCGCUCACCACG